rnacentral:tRNA from 1 species
GUCUGCGUGGGUUUUUAAUUCUGAUUUGUAAUCAGUAGGUCGCGGGUUCGACUCCUGCUGCCGGCACCA